rnacentral:tRNA from 1 species
GCCCUGAUAGCUUAUAAUAACAAAGCGCUGACCUUGUAAAUCAGAGAUGGGAAGCAUACCCCUCAGAGCA